rnacentral:rRNA from 1 species
AUUAAACGCUGGCGGCAUGCCUUACACAUGCAAGUCGAACGGCAGCACGGGGGCAACCCUGGUGGCGAGUGGCGGACGGGUGAGUAAAGCAUCGGAACGUAUCCUGAAGUGGGGGGAUAACGUAGCGAAAGUUACGCUAAUACCGCAUAUUCUGUGAGCAGGAAAGAGGGGGAUCGCAAGACCUCUUGCUUUAGGAGCGGCCGAUGUCGGAUUAGCUAGUUGGUGAGGUAAAGGCUCACCAAGGCGACGAUCCGUAGCGGGUCUGAGAGGAUGAUCCGCCACACUGGGACUGAGACACGGCCCAGACUCCUACGGGAGGCAGCAGUGGGGAAUUUUGGACAAUGGGCGCAAGCCUGAUCCAGCCAUGCCGCGUGAGUGAA